AGAUUGAAGUUGAAGGGAUUGAAGGACAUUAUGAUACGCUCAAAAGCGGGAAGUUAAGGUACGGAUUUACAGGACGACGCUUCUGAUCAUUAGGAUUUGCUCGUAUCAGCUUAUUGGUGAGCCCCAUCUCAUUCGGGGUUUAGUCAACUUUUACUUUAUGAUUAAUUAUGCAUCUAAAGGUAUGCUGGGGGCCUUGUCCCAGUGAGUAUGUUUUUCCAGUCAGACUCAUGGUAGAGGUUUCAUAGACUAGACAAGUCAGUUGUGUUAUGUCAGACAUUUGGAGUCGUAUAGCCAUUUUGGCUCACUUAUGCUUAAACAAGUAUUUUAUUAAGUAUUA